AUUGAACGCUGGCGGCAGGCCUAACACAUGCAAGUCGAGCGGAGCGGCGGACGGGCGAGUAAUGCCUAGGAAUCUGCCUGGUAGUGGGGGAUAACGUCAGGAAACGGGCGCUAAUACCGCAUACUAUCAGCUGAGCCUAGGUGGGAUUGGCUAGUUGGUAGGGUAAAGGCCUACCAAGGCGACGAUCCGUGACUGGUCUGAGAGGAUGAUCAGUCAAACUGGAACUGGAAAAGGGUCCAGACUCCUACGGAGGGCAGCGGUGGGGAAUAUUGGACAAUGGGCGAAAGCCUAAUCCAGACAUGCCGCGGGUGUGAAGAAGGUCUUGGGAUGGUAAAGCACGUUAAGUGAGGAGACGUUACCAACAGAAUAAGCAACGGCUAACUUCGUGCCAGCAGCCGCGGUAAUUC
rnacentral:rRNA from 1 species